rnacentral:lncRNA from 1 species
CUAGCAGCUCCCCAAACUCCAACAGGCCAGGACUGGGCAGGAAGUGCCGACCGCUGCUUGGAUGCAGAGUUAGACGAACGAACGGGAGCUGAGAGUCCCGCCUAAUGAAUGGCUCCUCUCCCGCACAGAUGUCUCUGCGACCAGCUGCACCCCUCGGCCCCCCUCACUCUGUACCAUGAAGAGGCACCACCCACCUUGCAGGAAGGCUGCCUGGGGUGCGGGUUGGAGCUGAACAAGGAGACGGG